rnacentral:piRNA from 1 species
UUGGAUUUGGAAAGUGUUGCCCUAAUAGAG